UACGUAGGGUGCGGGCGUUAAUCGGAAUUACUGGGCGUAAAGCGUGCGCAGGCGGUCUGUUAAGACCGAUGUGAAAUCCCCGGGCUUAACCUGGGAAUGGCAUUUGGGACUGCAAGGCUUGAGUGCGGCAGAGGAGACUGGAAUUCCUGGUGUAGCAGUGAAAUGCGUAGAUAUCAGGAGGAAUACCGAUGGCGAAGGCAGGUCUCUGGGCUGACACUGACGCUCAUGCACGAAAGCGUGGGGAGCAAACAGG
rnacentral:rRNA from 1 species